rnacentral:rRNA from 1 species
UACGAAGGGGGCUAGCGUUGCUCGGAAUCACUGGGCGUAAAGCGCACGUAGGCGGACUCUUAAGUCGGUGGUGAAAUCCUGGAGCUCAACUCCAGAACUGCCUUCGAUACUGGAAAGCUCGAGUCCGGGAGAGGUGAGUGGAACUGCGAGUGUAGAGGUGAAAUUCGUAGAUAUUCGCAAGAACACCAGUGGCGAAGGCGGCUCACUGGCCCGGUACUGACGCUGAGGUGCGAAAGCGUGGGGAGCGAACAGG